GGUUGAGCAGUUCUUGUUGCCGUCCUCUGCUACGUAUGCUUUGUCGUGCGCGUGUCCGACGAGAUCGCCCCCAAGAUAAGCCUCGCAGGCAUCCAGGAUGUGCGGGGCACGGCAGGUGAAAUGCUCCUUGACCAACGUCUCAAAAUGCUGAAUUCAGACAAGGGGACAACUCCGUCAAAUACAUGUCUUAACAACUAACAUUGAGUGAUGCAACAGAACCUAGCUAGCUAACUCAUAGCAUUAUAAAUUCAGAAGCCUUGUUUACUCCAGAGCUGUUUGAUUGAAGUUUAUUUGAACACGUAGCAUUAUGAAUUCGGAAGCGUUCUUGACUUCUCAAGUUUAAUUAAAACAUACAAAGUGUUUGAAUGGUAGAUGCAUAAGAAAGAACUAACGUGUUUUCAGAGCUGAUGACGACAUACCUUUGGAGGCUUGCGUAAAACAUACAUCAUGGAUUUGCAUGACAGAAGGAAGGCAUUCUCAUUGUACGUGAUGGAGUUCUUCUCUCCAUCAGCCUUGCCCACAAAUUUGUCGUAUCCCGCCUCGUUGAAGUAAGGUUUUUCGUUGAGAACAAGGGCCUGAAGCGAUAACAGCAGCUGAAGAACAGUUGAGCUCUCAGCAUUCCACACUUCGUUACCAGUGCCUGUCCAUGUCUUCAGGAGGCUGAGGCACACUUUUCCCGACUCAUACAGAUUUGGAUUCAGGCGGAGACCACCAGAGUGAUAGUGAACAGACUGGAAAGAAAAAUUUACACCAUUUGAUAUUUGAAAAAAAAAGAGCUGUAAGAUUUAUAUAAGAACAAUAGAGACUGGAAUGGAAGAGCUUACAGG
rnacentral:lncRNA from 1 species